rnacentral:rRNA from 1 species
GAUGAACGCUGGCGGCGUGCCUAAUACAUGCAAGUCGAGCGAAGCGGGGACGGGUGAGUAACACGUGGAUAACCUCCUAUAGGGCUGGGGUAACUUCGGGAACCCUGAGCUAGACCCGAUACUUAUAGGUGGGUCCUAGCUGGAUUAGCUAGUUGGUAAGGUAACGGCUUACCAAGGCAACGAUGCAUAGCCGACCUGAGAGGGUGAUCGGCCACACUGGAACUGAGACACGGUCCAGACUCCUACGGGAGGCAGCAGUAGGGAAUCUUCCGCAAUGGGCGAAAGCCUGAUGGAGCCACGCCGCGUGUGUGAAGAAGGUCUUCGGAUCGUAAAGCUCUGUGAUUAGGGAAGCGGUACCGAAACAGAAAGCCACGGCUAACUACGUGCCAGCAGCCGCGGUAAUAC